rnacentral:rRNA from 1 species
UGAAUACGAGAUGCUACGGCGUCGAAGCAGUCUAUGUCAGGCUUCCAAGAAAAGCUCGCAAUGUCAUAAACAAUAAAUGCCUGUACCAUAACCGACACAGGUGGGUAGGUAGAGUAUACUAAGGGGCGCGAGAUAACUCUCUCUAAGGAACUCGGCAAAAUGACUCCGUAACUUCGGGAGAAGGAGUGCCUUAUUUAUAAGGUUGCAAUAACAAGAUCCAAGCAACUGUUUACCAAAAACGCAGGUCUCCGCUAAGUCGUAAGACGAUGUAUGGGGGCUGACGCCUGCCCAGUGCCAGAAGGUUAAAGAAGUUGGUUAGCCUAGCGAAGCUGAUGACUGAAGCCCUGGUGAACGGCGGCCGUAACAAUAACGGUCCUAAGGUAGCGAAAUUCCUUGUCGGGUAAGUUCCGACCCGCACGAAAGGCGUAAUGAUUUGGAUACUGUCUCGGAGAGGGGCUCGGUGAAAUAGACUUGUCUGUGAAGAUGCGGACUACCUGCACCUGGACAGAAAGACCCUAUGAAGCUUUACUGUAACUUGAGAUUGAAAUUGGACUUUAUUUGCGCAGUAUAGGUGGGAGACGUUGAGAAUACUCUUGCGGGAGUAUUGGAGUCAUCAGUGAGAUACCACUCUUGUAAUGUUAGAUUUCUAACUUUGUAUCAUUAUCUGGUCAAAGGACAGUUUCAGGCGGGCAGUUUGACUGGGGCGGUCGCCUCCCAAAUGGUAACGGAGGCGCACAAAGGUUUCCUCUGAACGUGUAGAAAUCGUAUCUAGAGUGUAAAGGCAUAAGGAAGCUUGACUGUGAGACCUACAAGUCGAGCAGGGACGAAAGUCGGUCUUAGUGAUCUGACGGUGCUGAGUGGAAAGGCCGUCACUCAACGGAUAAAAGUUACUCUAAGGAUAACAGGCUGAUCUCCCCCAAGAGUUCACAUCGACGGGGAGGUUUGGCACCUCGACGUCGGCUCAUCGCAUCCUGGGGCGGUAGUACGUCCCAAGGGUUGGGCUGUUCGCCCAUGAAAGCGGUACGCGAGCUGGGUUCAGAACGUCGUGAGACAGUUCGGUCCAUAUCCGGUGUAGGCGUUAGAAUAUUGAGAGGAGCCUUCUUUAGUACGAGAGGACCGAGAAGGACAUACCUCUGGUGUACCAGUUAUCGUGCCAACGGUAAACGCUGGGUAGCUAUGUAUGGAGUGGAUAACCGCUGAAAGCAUCUAAGUGGGAAGCCCACCUCAAGAUAAGUAUUCUC